GAUUAGCCAGUUGGCGGGGCAACGGCCCACCAAAGCAGCGAUCGGGUAGGGGUUCUGAGAGGAAGGUCCCCCACAAUGGAASUGAGACACGGUCCAGACUCCUACGGGAGGCAGCAGUGAGGAAUAUUGGUCAAUGGACGAGAGUCUGARCCAGCCAAGUSGCGUGAAGGAAGACUGCCSUAAGGGUUGUAAACUUCUUUUGUAUGGGAAUAAAAAAUGGGACGUGUCSUAUAUUGUAUGUACCAUASGAAUAAGGAUCGGCUAACUCCGUGCCAGCAGCCGCGGUAAUACGGAGGAUCCGAGCGUUAUCCGGAUUUAUUGAGUUUAAAGGGUGSGUAGGCGGGAGAUCAAGUCAGUGGUGAAAUGGUGUGGCUCAACCAUAGCAUUGCCGUUGAAACUGGUUUUCUUGAGUGUAAAUGAGGUAAGCGGAAUGUGUCGUGUAGCGGUGAAAUGCAUAGAUGKGACACAGAACUCCAAUUGCGAAGGCAGCUUAYUGGGAUACAACUGACGCUGAGGCACGAAAGC
rnacentral:rRNA from 1 species